rnacentral:rRNA from 1 species
UACGUAGGGCGCAAGCGUUGUCCGGAAUUAUUGGGCGUAAAGAGCUCGUAGGCGGUCUGUCGCGUCCGUUGUGAAAACUCGAGGCUCAACCUCGGGCUUGCAGUGGAUACGGGCAGACUAGAGUGCGGUAGGGGAGACUGGAAUUCCUGGUGUAGCGGUGAAAUGCGCAGAUAUCAGGAGGAACACCGGUGGGCGAAGGCGGGUCUCUGGGCAGUAACUGACGUGGAGGAGCGAAAGCGUGGGGAGCGAACAGG